GUCAUAUUAAAUUAAGCGCAUCUGUACAUAAGAGUCUACCUUUACUUAUGUACCUAUGUACUAGCUGUUGAGAAAGUGGAUGAGAUGGGAGGGAAUGAGUGGGGUAGGGGUUGAACGCGUGGAGAGGCUGGCCCUUGGAUAGACUGCGCGCAAACAUAUAGGACACCGCGAGCAAGAGCGGUGAUAAAAGGAGCGCUGACCGUGGUGCUGAAUAGACGACUUCACAAGGGAUUCCAGUCAAGUGGACCAGAAGACUUGCGCAUCCGCCGCAACCAAGAGACUUCACGAAACCGAAGUUGUCCGCUGAAGAGUCCCAAAUGGAGACACACAGCAUCGUUGGAGCGAAUGAUGAAUGACCAUGGCAUCCCCAACAGAGAGGAGCAAUUAUUCAGCCCAACAGUGAAGAGAUGUCUCUGACUACUCUAUUCCUGUUCAAGCUGACCUGUCAAUUAGACCGUGCAAUCACUCAUCAAUCAUCUUUCUGGCAAUAACCAACCAGGCGUUUUAACUACUGACCCAAGGAUAAGAAUUCAUAGCAAUACAAUACAGACAUUUCCUGUGUUACAGUACUUCUAACUUAUUGGUGAGCCCAGUCAGAAAUAUCAAUGGACUUUAUGAGUCGGUUAUAAUGUUAUUAUUAGUUUGGGGAUAAGAAAUACUCUCUCUUGUCAUAUUGGCCCACAGAGCCAAGCUUCUUAUGAAAAUCUCUCACUCCACUUACCCUGACCUGAAGCUUAUUAAGCUGUGAACCUUUGAACAUACAAGCACUAUAUACUAGGUCAUUGAUCCACAAUUCCUCUUCAACCACUCAGUUAGAUGUAUCCCCCUCGCCCCGCCUCCUGUUUCUAAUUAUUUACAAGGCCCCCGGCAUAGUUGGACCAUUGCUUAAAGAAGUCGAUUUGACAGGUUAGAGAAUCUACAAUUGCCAGUGCAAGUGGUACGCGGGGAGGACUUUGGUACAACUGUCACAUUCAGCUUGUAUGUACUGUACAGGUCUGUGUCCCUUGGCUGUUACAAUCCAACAUGGACACCAGAACACGACAAGUCCUUGAAUAUGAAUUAAGCCCCAGUGAGCCUGUUCCAACUUGUCUGUUAUUGGUUUACUGAAGUGUUCAUGAAUCCAUAGGACUGCUUAUCAUCAUGUCAUCCCUGUUUGGCUUCUAUCACUGUUGUUGCCUAUGCGGCCAAAGGGUGAACUGAAUUGACCCCCAAAUACCCCCUUCCACUCCACACAAAGGCACCUUUUAGAUGAUGACCGAUACCCAAACUGUUUUUCAUGCCCAAAUUCUGUUUUCUACCUUAAUUCGAAAACAAAACAAAAUAAUCUUAACAGCAAAUGACAUUUUUCAGUGUAGGUCACAUU
rnacentral:lncRNA from 13 species